AGUGAACGCUGGCGGUAGGCCUAACACAUGCAAGUCGAACGGCAGCACAGUAAGAGCUUGCUCUUACGGGUGGCGAGUGGCGGACGGGUGAGGAAUACAUCGGAAUCUACUUUUUCGUGGGGGAUAACGUAGGGAAACUUACGCUAAUACCGCAUACGACCUACGGGUGAAAGCAGGGGAUCUUCGGACCUUGCGCGAUUGAAUGAGCCGAUGUCGGAUUAGGUAGUUGGCGGGGUAAAGGCCCACCAAGGCGACGAUCCGUAGCUGGUCUGAGAGGAUGAUUAGCCAAACUUGAACUUAGACACGGUCCAAACUCCUACGGGGAGCAGCAGUUGGGAAUAUUGGACAAUGGGCGCAAGCCUGAUCCAGCCAUACCGCGUGGGUGAAGAAGGCCUUCGGGUUGUAAAGCCCUUUUGUUGGGAAAGAAAAGCAGCAGGUUAAUACCCCGCUGUUCUGACGGUACCCAAAGAAUAAGCACCGGCUAACUUCGUG
rnacentral:rRNA from 1 species